rnacentral:rRNA from 1 species
CAGCCGCCGCGGUAAGACGUAGGGCGCGAGCGUUGUCCGGAUUUAUUGGGCGUAAAGAGCUCGUAGGCGGCUUGUCACGUCUGUCGUGAAAGACCAGGGCUUAACUCUGGUUUUGCGGUGGAUACGGGCAGGCUUGAGGCAAGUAGGGGAGAACGGAAUUCCAUGUGUAGCGGUGAAAUGCGCAGAUAUGUGGAGGAACACCGGUGGCGAAGGCGGUUCUCUGGGCUUGUUCUGACGCUGAGGAGCGAAAGCGUGGGGAGCGAACAGGAUUAGAUACCCUGGUAGUCCACGCUGUAAACGGUGGGCGCUAGGUGUGGGGCGGCAUUUGUUCGUUCCGUGCCGUAGCUAACGCAUUAAGCGCCCCGCCUGGGGAGUACGGCCGCAAGGCUAAAACUCAAAGGAAUUGACGGGGGCCCGCACAAGCGGCGGAGCAUGCGGAUUAAUUCGAUGCAACGCGAAGAACCUUACCUGGGUUUGACAUCACCCGGAAACCACUGGAGACAGUGGCCUCUUCGGACUGGGUGACAGGUGGUGCAUGGCC